rnacentral:rRNA from 1 species
GAUGAACGCUGGCGGCGUGCCUAAUACAUGCAAGUCGAGCGAACAGACGAGGAGCUUGCUCCUCUGACGUUAGCGGCGGACGGGUGAGUAACACGUGGAUAACCUACCUAUAAGACUGGGAUAACUUCGGGAAACCGGAGCUGAUACCGGAUAAUAUAUUGAACCGCAUGGUUCAAUAGUGAAAGACGGUUUUGCUGUCACUUAUAGAUGGAUCCGCGCCGCAUUAGCUAGUUGGUAAGGUAACGGCUUACCAAGGCAACGAUGCGUAGCCGACCUGAGAGGGUGAUCGGCCACACUGGAACUGAGACACGGUCCAGACUCCUACGGGAGGCAGCAGUAGGGAAUCUUCCGCAAUGGGCGAAAGCCUGACGGAGCAACGCCGUGUGAGUGAUGAAGGUCUUCGGAUCGUAAAACUCUGUUAUUAGGGAAGAACAAAUGUGUAAGUAACUAUGCACGUCUUGACGGUACCUAAUCAGAAAGCCACGGCUAACUACGU